ACGCUCGACACCUACGGGAGGCAGCAGUGGGGAAUAUUGCACAAUGGGGGAAACCCUGAUGCAGCGACGCCGCGUGGAGGAAGAAGGUCUUCGGAUUGUAAACUCCUGUUGUUGGGGAAAAAGAGGAUGGUACCAACAAGGAAGUGACGGCUAACUACGUGUCAGCAGCCGCGGUAAUCUGAGCGGCUGGCAAGGC
rnacentral:rRNA from 1 species